GACGAACGCUGGCGGCGUGCCUAAUACAUGCAAGUAGAACGAUGAAGGAGGAACUUGCUUCUCUGGAUGAGUUGCGAACGGGUGAGUAACGCGUAGGUAACCUGCCUGGUAGAGGGGGAUAACUAUUGGAAACGCUGGCUAAUACCGCAUAAUAGUAGAUGUUGCAUGACAUUUGCUUGAAAGAUGCAAUUGCACCACUACCAGAUGGACCUGCGUUGUAUUAGCUAGUGGGUGGGGUAACGGCUUACCAAGGCAACGAUGCGUAGCCGACCUGAGAGGAGGUUGGGCCACCCGGGAACUGAGACACGGCCCGAACCCCUACGGGAGGAGCAGGAGGGGAUCUUUGGCCAUUGGCCGAAGUCUUACCGAGGAAAGGCCGCGGGGGGAAGGAAGGUUUUGGGUCGUAAAGCUCUGUUUAAUGGGGAGAACGAGUUGUAGAGGGGAAAAUGCACGCUGUGACGGUACCUUAUCAGAAAGCGACGGCUAACUACGUG
rnacentral:rRNA from 1 species